rnacentral:lncRNA from 1 species
ACAAUUUAAAACCAAAAAUAUUUUAGGUCUGAGAAACUCCCAAGUGAAGAGGGGUGCUGCCAUUUACAUUCAUUUGGAUGGACAUAUGGUCUGGUUUGGUAUGAAGAUGCAUAUACUUACAUCAUUAAAAUCCCUCAAUGCCUAUAUAAAGUUAAAUUUUAUAAAACAGAUACAUAUUUAGUGUCCUCUCUAUGCAGACUUUAUAAUAAUGGAUGUCUCCAAAGAGAAACAGCAUUUUGAAGCAGUGUGAAUAAUAUGGACUUAGAAAUUUUUUUUCCUUUAAAAAUCAAACUUGAUUCCAAUUGGAUGAUUAUACUUCAAUGCAUUUCUGUGUGUUCAGAUGUGGCUAACAUCUUCCAGUGGAGUCAUAAGGGAAUACACACACCAGGACAACCAGAAGAGAAUGAAACCUUAAAAUACCACUUUCCUGGAGGAUGCAGGCUUAUGAGAGGAUUCCACCAUCUUGUCAGGACCUGUUCCUCACAGAAGAUCUACCCAAUUUUUGAGAAGCCUUCCUCCAUGUUUUCUUUUUUUUUUUCAUUUUUUUAAAACUUACCUUCCAUUUUUUAUUGAUUCCAAUGCACAAAAGUGGGCUGGCCCUGCCUUAUGGAAUGCUUCAUGGAUAUUUAGAUUUCUCUGAGUGGUCUUGAAGAUUUAUAAGCUCUUAUAGCCAUUUAAGUGGGUAUUACUGCCUUUCUGAAAGAGCUUGAUAUAGUUACUGUAAAAUUUCUGCCAGCAUUGCCAGCUGACCCUGUAACUUCUUGGAGACAAAGAGGCUCGGUUUAUGGAAGCUGUGCACCCCAGCUGUUCCCAUUUUCAUGAACGAGCUCAAGGUGCUUGACUAAGAAUCAAUAAAGUUAUAAACUCCAGACUGGAUUUUUGAAAG